CUGCAGUGCCAGGGAAAUGGAUUGUUUUCCUUGCACUGGAGUUUCCCUUUAAACAGGGAAAUAACAUCAUGUAAUUAUUAUGAGGCAGAGUUCAGAGUGGUGUUAUGAUGCAGGUAUAGAGCAGAGAGGUUGUUUGGAUUUGAGUAGGUAAAUAUCAGGAUGGUUGGAUAAAGCUGGAUAGUUGUUAAGUUCAGGAUGGUAUUUUGCAGGUUAGAUGUCAAACAGGAAUGCAGAGUAGUUCAGCUGGUAUUAAGCAGGGUUGGAAGCAAGUAGUUCAGCUGGUGUUAAGCAGGGUUGGGAGUAAGUAGUUCUGAAACAAAUAAGAUAAGUUCACAGGAGCCAGGAUAUGAAGUUUCAGGCAGAUCAACAUCUUCAAUGCAAAGGCAAUGAGGUGAGUGUGGUGUUACCUUUCGUAGGAACCCAAUUAGUCCAGGCAGGUGAGGAUUAUAAGGUGAGUGUCCAAAACUAGAAGCAAGAGAGGCCACUAGUGGUAAAACAUAAUCCGUACAGGAACUUGGUUUCUCAAAGAAACAGUAUCAACGGAACAAAAAGUCUUGCGUGCCAGGAUAGGAUCCUGACAAAAAUGCAUUUUUAACAAACCGCAGACGCUUAAACAUUGGCUUCAAGAAAAGAGCUUAAA